AUACGUAGGGGGCGAGCGUUGUCCGGAAUGAUUGGGCGUAAAGGGCGCGUAGGCGGCCCGGUAAGUCUGGAGUGAAAGUCCUGUUUUUAAGAUGGGAAUUGCUUUGGAUACUGUCGGGCUUGAGUGCAGGAGAGGUAAGUGGAAUUCCCAGUGUAGCGGUGAAAUGCGUAGAGAUUGGGAGGAACACCAGUGGCGAAGGCGACUUACUGGACUGUAACUGACGCUGAGGCGCGAAAGUGUGGGGAGCAAACAGGAUUAGAUACCCUGGUAGUCCACACUGUAAACGAUGAAUGCUAGGUGUGGGGGGUAUCGACCCCUUCUGUGCCGCAGUCAACACAAUAAGCAUUCCGCCUGGGGAGUACGGCCGCAAGGUUGAAACUCAAAUGAAUCGACGGGG
rnacentral:rRNA from 1 species